UCGUUAAAAUUUUAUUUAUUUGUACGGUUAAAAAUUGAUUUGACUAAUAAAAUAAUCAAAUAGUAACAUGUGACAUGCCAUAUGUACCUCAUGUUAAUGUGUAGAGAUCAAUUUUUAACAAUAAAAAUAGAUGAACUUCUUAAGA
rnacentral:pre_miRNA from 1 species